CCGUAUACAAUUUAUCCAUUGAACUAUACGCCGAAUAUAGAUGACCAGAGGCCCAGAGCCCAAUAGGGAUAUGUACGCGCCGGCUAUUGUUUGCCCUAUGGGCAAUCUAAUCGAUCCGAUCGAUUGAUCUACAUUUGCGUUCUCCUGGACCGCUUAGGGCUGCUGUCGCCGGUCGCCGCCGUGCGUGUCGUGCUAGGGCGUUUACGGUUGCCGCAGCAGCCAUCCUGGUCGCCACGAUGACGACUCCAUCCAGCCAUCCACUAAUCUACCCUCUACAGCCCGCUAUCCGCAUAUGAUUGACUACAUGCCGGUGGAUCAGAUCAUCAGACUACAGCCAGAGGUCGCAGCCAGGUGACCAGGAUUGAAUAUGUUGGCAGCAGCAGACAGAGUCUUGGAAAGUGCAGACCCAGAGGGGGUGUCUGCAGUGACCUUGCUGCUUAUGGCAUAGAAACAUAUGUCAGGUCAAUUACAGAGUGAAAAAGGUUUUUAGACAUGGGCAUGCUUCAUAUGCAGUGUCAGCACCCAUGUUGCUACUUACAGAGUUCAGAUGCAUUUUUCAAUAAUUUUGUUGAAAGUUAAAGAAGAAUAUAGAGCAGUGUCAGCACCCAUGUUGCUACUUACAGAGUUCAGAUGCAUUUUCAAUAAUUUUGUUGAAAGUUAAAGAAGAAUAUAGAGCAGGUGUUA